rnacentral:rRNA from 1 species
UACGAAGGGUGCAAGCGUUAAUCGGAAUUAUUGGGCGUAAAGAGCUCGUAGGCGGUCUGUCGCGUCGAAUGUGAAAACCCGGGACUCAACUCCGGGCCUGCAUUCGAUACGGGCAGACUAGAGUUCGGUAGGGGAGACUGGAAUUCCUGGUGUAGCGGUGAAAUGCGCAGAUAUCAGGAGGAACACCGGUGGCGAAGGCGGGUCUCUGGGCCGAUACUGACGCUGAGGAGCGAAAGCGUGGGGAGCAAACAGG